rnacentral:rRNA from 1 species
AGUGAACGCUGGCGGUAGGCCUAACACAUGCAAGUCGAACGGCAGCACAGUAAGAGCUUGCUCUUACGGGUGGCGAGUGGCGGACGGGUGAGGAAUACAUCGGAAUCUACUUUUUCGUGGGGGAUAACGUAGGGAAACUUACGCUAAUACCGCAUACGACCUACGGGUGAAAGCAGGGGAUCUUCGGACCUUGCGCGAUUGAAUGAGCCGAUGUCGGAUUAGCUAGUUGGCGGGGUAAAGGCCCACCACGGCGACGAUCCGUAGCUGGUCUGAGAGGAUGAUCGGCCACACUGGAACUGAGACACGGUCCAGACGCCUACGGGAGGCAGCAGUGGGGAAUAUUGGACAAUGGGCGCAAGCCUGAUCCAGCCAUACCGCGUGGGUGAAGAAGACCUUCGGGUUGUAAAGCCGUUUUGUUGGGAAAGAAAAGCAGCAGGUUAAUACCCCGCUGUUCUGACGGUACCCAAAGAAUAAGCACCGGCUAACUUCGUG